UCUACUAAUGAAUUGUACGUCAUAAAGAUCAGUGAGGCCGGUGAUAUAACAGAGGCUAGAGCUGCCAUUGAGGAAGCUGCAGAGAGCCUGUCCUUGUUGGGGUCCCUGAGGCGUCUCACCACCGUGGAGGGACGGGACCGGCUGGUUCAGGCUGCCACAAGUUUCUACGUGGAAGGACAAAAGAAGCCUCCCAACAAGCUACAGUGCUUGGACCAGAUUUGACUUAUGUUUUGAGGAAAAUGCUUGGACUUUCUGAAGGACUGAACACACUUGGUCUCCUGGACCUGAUGAAAAUUCACGCCAGCAUCUUGAAGGAGGUGUUUUCUUCAUCUGAGAGGCCUCUAAAGGCCACAGACUUGAUCUCCCUGUUCCAAGUGACACUGUCCCCUCCUGGAAGCAACCGGUGGCGCCUGGAGAAGAGAGUGGAAGGGUACUGGAGAGACUUUCUUCUAGAUGUGGAGGAUGGUGUGUUUGAGGUCACAAUGGAGCAAAUUUUGGUGUUUGCCUCUGGAGCCGACAGAGUACCCGCUCUUGGUUUUUCUCCUCACCCAACGCUGAACUUCAUUCACGACGCAGGGCGGAAGUACCCUGAAGCUAACACCUGUCUUGAUUAUACAACAGUUUCUUGCCAGUCUCUUUGCCAACUCUGGAUUCCCUAGCUUACCUCCCCUCUCAAGGACGGUAUCCUGCACUCUAAUCCAGGGGAUAAUGAAUCCCUGAGGAAUGAGAGGGUUAGAUGCCGUGAUAACGCAGUUACUGGGUCAGUUGCAGAACACAGGCCCUCCUCCAGCUGAUAGAGAAGAUCUCUCCUCUCCCAUCUGUCAGUAUGAAAUGUGAAUGGCUGCAAGACAAAAUGGAUAAACUGACAGCACGUGUGUCUGAUUGCAGGUUUAGAGACAAAACUUUCCAUUUCAGUGUUCAGAAGUCUGCAGCCCAGGGGAGAUGUUUGCUGGCGCUUACUGCCUUCACUUUCCAGCAAGUAGGGAAACAACAGACUUAUUAUUAGCGGACACACUCUGACCUACACUGUACAUUUACUGCCACACUGACAGCUUAUUGCUCGUAUUUUCCUCUG